CAAAUCAUGGCGAACCUCGCGUUUCGCGAGGUCUUGCGUCCAUUUUCGUAUUUAAAACAUCCCACUCUUUAAAAAAAAAAUUAUCUAAUGAUAAAUAAAAAAGA
rnacentral:misc_RNA from 1 species